rnacentral:rRNA from 1 species
AUUGAACGCUGGCGGCAGGCCUAACACAUGCAAGUCGAACGAGUGGCGGACGGGUGAGUAAUGUCUGGGAAACUGCCUGAUGGAGGGGGAUAACUACUGGAAACGGUAGCUAAUACCGCAUACCAUCGGAUGUGCCCAGAUGGGAUUAGCUAGUAGGUGGGGUAAAGGCUCACCUAGGCGACGAUCCCUAGCUGGUCUGAGAGGAUGACCAGCCACACGAGAACUGAGACAGGGUCCAAACUCCGAAGGGAGGCAGCAGUGGGAAAUAUUGCACAAUGGACACAAACCUGAUGAAGCAGUGCCGCGUGUAUGAAGAAGGCCUUAGGGUUGUAAAGUACUGUCAGCGGGGAGGCGUGACCCGCAGAAGAAGCACCGGCUAACUCCGUGCCAUCAGCCGCGGUAAUAC